rnacentral:lncRNA from 1 species
AGAACUAUCAACAACCCAAGACGGCACAGUUGUAGACGAACACUCCGACAUGCUGCUUCUCAGCAAGUACCUUCCAAUCCAAGGUUCCGUUGUUAACCCCUGACUUGGGACACCACGAGUUUAGCACAACAUUUUCACCUUCGGGGCCUCUUUGCCCACCCACAACCAGAAGUUCAUUUCCACAAGCUUUAAAGGCCAGACCCCAGCCAUUUGAGAGAUCAGCUCUAACUGGAAGCCUUCCCAACACAUCCCACGUGUUCUUCAACUUGUCAUACUUCUUGACCAUGUUAGUCAAAUACUCAACUGCAUAUAACUGAUUAUCCACAACUGCAACGAGAGGAGGAGCCUGUGCAGCCCUAUUGACAUUUGGGUACAUCCCUUCUAUCUUCCUCCAUUUCCUGGUCUCAAGAUCAAACUCCUCCCCACAGGUCAAUGAAACAGUGGGACUUGACAUUCCACCAAUCACAUAGAAUUUUCC